rnacentral:rRNA from 1 species
UACGUAGGGGGCUAGCGUUGUCCGGAAUCAUUGGGCGUAAAGCGCGCGUAGGCGGCCCGGUAAGUCCGCUGUAAAAGUCAAAGGCUCAACCUUUGAAUGUCAGUGGAUACUGCCGGGCUAGAGUCCGGAAGAGGCGAGUGGAACUCCUGGUGUAGCGGUGGAAUGCGCAGAUAUCAGGAAGAACACCGACGGCGAAGGCAGCUCGCUGGAACGGUACUGACGCUGAGACGCGAAAGCGUGGGGAGCAAACAGG